AACGAACGCUGGCGGCAGGCUUAACACAUGCAAGUCGAACGCAUCGCAAGAUGAGUGGCAGACGGGUGAGUAACGCGUGGGAAUCUACCGUGCCCUGCGGAAUAGCUCCGGGAAACUGGAAUUAAUACCGCAUACGCCCUAUGGGGGAAAGAUUUAUCGGGGUAUGAUGAGCCCGCGUUGGAUUAGCUAGUUGGUGGGGUAAAGGCCUACCAAGGCGACGAUCCAUAGCUGGUCUGAGAGGAUCAUCAGCCACAUUGGGACUGAGACACGGCCCAAACUCCUACGGGAGGCAGCAGUGGGGAAUAUUGGACAAUGGGCGCCAGCCUGAUCCAGCCAUGCCGCGUGAGUGAUGAAGGCCCUAGGGUUGUAAAGCUCUUUCACCGGUGAAGAUAAUGACGGUAACCGGAGAAGAAGCCCCGGCUAACUUCGUGCCAGCCGCCGCGGUAA
rnacentral:rRNA from 1 species